rnacentral:rRNA from 1 species
UACGUAGGGGGCUAGCGUUGUCCGGAUUUAUUGGGCGUAAAGAGCGUGUAGGCGGCCAGGUAGGUCUGCUGUGAAAACUCGAGGCUCAACCUCGAGACGUCGGCGGAAACCAUCUGGCUAGAGUCCGGAAGAGGAGAGUGGAAUUCCUGGUGUAGCGGUGAAAUGCGCAGAUAUCGGGAAGAACACCCGUGGCGAAGGCGGUUCUCUGGGACGGUACUGACGCUGAGACGCGAAAGCGUGGGGAGCGAACAGGG